GUCCACGCCGUAAACGAUGAAUGCCAGUCGUCGGGCAGCAUGCUGUUCGGUGACACACCUAACGGAUUAAGCAUUCCGCCUGGGGAGUACGGCCGCAAGGUUAAAACUCAAAGGAAUUGACGGGGGCCCCGCACAAGCGGUGGAGCAUGUGGUUUAAUUCGAAGCAACGCGCAGAACCUUACCAACCCUUGACAUGGGUAUCGCGGGGCCAGAGAUGGUCCUUUCAGUUCGGCUGGAUACCACACAGGUGCUGCAUGGCUGUCGU
rnacentral:rRNA from 1 species